rnacentral:sRNA from 1 species
UCACUUGAUGGGCAAGAAUGACUAAUUG